rnacentral:rRNA from 1 species
AGUGAACGCUGGCGGUAGGCCUAACACAUGCAAGUCGAACGGCGGCACAGUAAGAGCUUGCUCUUACGGGUGGCGAGUGGCGGACGGGUGAGGAAUACAUCGGAAUCUACUUUUUCGUGGGGGAUAACGUAGGGAAACUUACGCUAAUACCGCAUACGACCUACGGGUGAAAGCAGGGGAUCUACGGACCUUGCGCGAUUGAAUGAGCCGAUGUCGGAUUAGCUAGUUGGCGGGGUAAAGGCCCACCAAGGCGACGAUCCGUAGCUGGUCUGAGAGGAUGAUCAGCCACACUGGAACUGAGACACGGUCCAGACUCCUACGGGAGGCAGCAGUGGGGAAUAUUGGACAAUGGGCGCAAGCCUGAUCCAGCCAUACCGCGUGGGUGAAGAAGGCCUUCGGGUUGUAAAGCCCUUUUGUUGGGAAAGAAAAGCAGCAGGUUAAUACCCCGCUGUUCUGACGGUACCCAAAGAAUAAGCACCGGCUAACUUCGUG